UGUAUUACCUGCUAGUUCUGGCAGUAUAACUCUCUCCACUAUAACAGGUUGAUGUAUUACCUGCUAGUUCUGGCAGUAUAACUCUCUCCACUAUAACAGGUUGAUGUAUUACCUGCUAGUUCUGGCAGUAUAACUCUCUCCACUAUAACAGACAGGUUGAUGUAUUACCUGCUAGUUUUGGCAGUAUAACUCUCUCCACUAUAACAGGUUGAUGUAUUACCUGCUAGUUGUGGCAGUAUAACUCUCUCCACUAUAACAGACAGGUUGAUGUAUUACCUGCUAGUUUUGGCAGUAUAACUCUCUCCACUAUAACAGGUUGAUG